AGUGCACCAGUGGGGUCCCUCGGCCUGGCCUGCACCCUCUCGCAAUCUGGGACCCCUUGGGGGAUGUUGGAGAGCUGGUUUCAGCCCGAUGCUGCAGGCCAGGCCGAGGGACCCCACUGGUGCAUG
rnacentral:pre_miRNA from 1 species